AGGGAAAAUACAGAAGUCAGAUUUCAUUUUUGUUCUUCGCCAUAGGCAAGGAGUUGGCCUCUUCUUGGGCUGUGAAAUGAUCUUAGAUGGUAUAAUUUAAAAGAUAUCGCUAAUAGAUGUCUAAUAGACAUAGACAUCUCUAAUCCAACCAAUGAGGAUGGAUGUUAAUUAUCUAUUUUUUCAGCUGAGACGAUGAGCCAGCGUGUACCAACGUGGACAGAAGAAAAGUCAGUAACCCACGUUCUGUACAAGGGUCUCAAGAAAAGAGAUUUCCAUCGAGUGUGUGGACAAUGCUGACGGAUUUCCUGGUGUAGUCGUCUAUGAUGAUGAAACAUUCUCCAUUUCUGCUCAACAAGAUGUCAUAGAGCGAGCUGCUUCUGGUGAUGGACAAGACCAUUCCAGGUUAGGCAAGGCAAGGCAAAUAUUCUUCAGGAGGAGGAGGAGGGUGAUGAGGAUGACUGGAGGCAUCUACAGCCAUCAGGCAUCAACAUAAUAAUUUGUUGUAGAUUUGAUUAUCAUAUCAUAUCUUUUAUAAUUGGAAUAUUAUAAUUGCUACAAUUAAUGGUAAAUGUGUAUUCUUGUAUUUGGUCCCAACUACAAGAAUUUGUUGUUUUAGCACUUGUGAAAUUCAUGUGGUUUUUCUGUAAGGGGGGUUAUUUGAUCAUUAAUGUAUAUUUGUUUCUGAUCCAAACUGAGAAAUACAAAACAGAAUUUUAUGUACCGGACUAUUUCUUUUCCAGGAGCAGUUGCCAGGCAACAGAGAUUCCAGGAAGUUACUGGUCUCGGCCAAGAAAUAGUCCGGUACAUAACCCCCUGUAAAGAGGAGAACUGGCCUUUUACACUUUGGUGUUUGUACGGAUUUAACAAACAAAAUAUUCAUGUUAAUUAGUGAGCUUUAGGUGCCGGUAAAAGGAUUUUGUUAGCUGGACAGAGCCAGGCUAGCUGUUUCCAGUCUUUAUGCUAAGUUAAACCAACCAACAGCUAGGUCUGGCUUUGUAUUUAACGUACAGACAUGAGAGUGCAAGAAAGCAAAUAAGCUAUUUCUCAAAACUGUAGAGUUAUUGAUUUAAGCUUUACCCUGAACUACACUAAAUCUUUGACAAAAGAAAAUGAUAGUUUUAAGUAAGUAAGUUUUUCGGGAGUUACAUCAUAAUGUGAAUUGGAACACUGAAUGUUAUUGUUGGUAGUGAGGCUACCCUUUUGCACAAUCUGGAUUUCAAAUAUAAAGUAUGAAUUUGGACCCUGUCCCAAGCAGCAGGUUUACUGUGUGAUCUAGAUAACUUUGCUGAGUUAAACCCAGGACCCUCACUAAACUAACAUGGACUGAUGUUGAACUUUGUAUGCAGUUAUUCAGGUAACUCAAACCUACUUCUUGGAACAUGACUGUUUCACAUGUGUAAGGGGUAAAAGGCCAAUUACAAAGCCUCUUCACGGUAACAAAAACUGUACUCUACCUUCAAAAGGUUACAAAACAUGUAAAAGUGCUUGUUAAAUCUGUCAAUAAAACUCUAUGAAAAGAUGCUUCUGUUAAAGCUCAAUAAUACAUCUUGCUUGGCAUACCUAUCAAGAGCUUUUAUUUUACAGAGGGCAUAGACAUACAAAAUGUAUGUCCUUAUCAAAAAUCAAGGUGUGAGUUAAUAACACCAGAUUUGACUGACCUUUAACUGCAUGUGUAAAACUACAUCCAUCAUAGUGACAUGACAGUUAAACAAACUUCAUUCUUGAGUCAAAAUAUAACAUAUGCAACUUGGCUUAUUAGUUUCACAAGGCAGAACAGUGAACAGCAAAAUACUUUGAAAUCAGACUGAACUGUAAAGGCCACAGUUGAACAUGAUCAAAUCCUCAACCCCACAUAGUGGCAGACUUCCAGUUUUUUAGAUUCAGUUUGAACUGUAACACAAUGAGUAAUCAGUAAGCAGCUGUCCUAUCAGCUAAUGGAAAACAUUGGGGGCAGUCAGCUGAUCAUGUCGUAGUGGAUGUCACGCAAGGGAGCAGGGAACACAAGGAAUAGGACCCAAAUGCAGACUAGAGGCAGAGCAGAUGCAGUUCAUCAAUUUAUUGCGGGAAAGGCUUACAUGGGUAGUCGGGCAAGUAGAGGUACAAAUCGAGGUGCAAUUAAUCAAGGCGGGGCCAACAAUCUAAACUGGAGGGAAAGCAAACAAAGACAGGAAGUAAAACCACAAGACACAUGAGGAGAGGAGAGGAGAACACUACAAAAUAAAACAGGAAACAGGACAAAACCCUAAACUAUGACAGAUCAUCAUAUUUGUCUGACUCUGCAUCUUAAAAAAGGCAUUAUUAAUGAUUAUCUUCUUAUAAACAUACAGGCAUUUGUUCAAUUUGAAAGAAAGUGUGGUUACAUUAACUUUUACUAGUUUUGAAAAGUUUAAGUGGAGACUUUUGCCUCCAGUUCUCCCAUGGUAAUACCUUGCUAAAGGUCAGGGGGGACAAAGAUUGUGAUUUCAACACAAGAGCCUGCGAUUUAAAUGCCGUCUCCUACUAACAGUUAACAAACUAUAGAUUUCCAUGAGGGCCUUCUUUCUCUAACCUUGACCAAAUAGUUUUAGUUUACUAAAUGUUUUGUGCAAUGUUAGGUUUUCUUUGAGAACUGAAACUGGUUUUGUAGUGGGGAAAUGCAGAAGUAUUUGCAGAAGUAUGUCCUUUCCAUCCCAGAUUCAUUAUUAUUCACUGCUUAGGGAGUGUUGAAUUUAGAUUGUAUGAAUCAGACAAUUCCUCUCAGUUGAGCUAGCGGACCAAAGCAGACCAACAUGAAGGGAGGGAAAAUCUAAUCAACGUUUUGUGUAAAGAUCUCAGGAAAAGAGAUUUCCAUCGAGUGUGUGGACAAUGCUCAUGGAUUCCCUGGUGUAGUCGUCUAUGACGAUAAAACUUUCCACAUUUCUUCUCAACAAGGGACUGCUUUUGGUGCUGGACAUGGACCUCACAGUUCUGUGAGAACUUUCCAAUUGCCCCAUUAUGAGGAUAAUGAAAUUGCCAUUGAGUGUGACCCUCCAGAGACUAAAAGUGAUUCAAAUGCCAGCAAUGGGGCACCACCUCUACCCCUCACUGAUGAUGAUGAAGUUCUCAUGGAGGUAGACUAGCAGGUGCAAGAAAACAACACUCUUGAGGAGGACGAGGAAGAUGAAGUGGAUUUACUGCGGACACCUCCACCUUUCAGAUGAACCUGCAAGGCAUAGUCUGGAAGAUUUCCCUAGAGCUGCUAGUUUGGCUAAACAAACAAAAAAACCCUGUUAUGAUUUAUGAUGAGAAUGUCUGUAUCAGAUUUAAAAGUAAAGUAAUACAGUCAAGUAAUGUCAGAUUUCGACUUCUGUUCUCUGAAUUUUCAUUAAAGUGGAACAAGUUAA